GCAAAUGAGAGAACUAUCACCUGCUGCGGUGCAAGGCAGCGAGCAGUGCUGUGACUCCAUUUCAGCCCUAACUCUUCACUUCCUGCCCUCAUUUUCUCCAAGGCCAUGAUUCUGUGCCUGUGAUAACAGAAAUCACCUUUUAAUCUCGAGUGGUUGACUUCUGUCUACCAUCUGGGGAAACUUGUUCAUCAUUUCAACCAUGACACCUGUUGUCAGCUGCUGGAAUUAAUUCUGAGUACUUUCUGUUUGGAUUCAGUGUUUUUGUAUGUCUCGUAACACAUUUCACUCCUGGCUGCUGGGAUGAAUCGACCAUGAUUUUGAGCUAGAGAGUCUUUUUUAUGCAUUUGUUAUUAAUAAUAAUAACAAUUAUUAUUAUUAAUAGAGUGCUCUGGGUUGUGCAGUCCACGUGCUUGUCUUGAUCACCGAUUUCAAAGCAGUCAAGAUUAUCUGCAAACAGCAAGAGAACUGCCUGGAGAAGCAUCAGAACACAGAGAGAAAGCAGAUCAGAGAGAAAGACCGCAGAACAGAGAGAUGGCAGGCAGGGACGCUAUCUCCAGCAGAGCACAAAUCGCCAGCUUCAACCCACGAUUUGAUUUUUAUCACUGAGUGAGAGGAAGUGUUACUCAUUUCCUGUUGCCUAUGCAGAGGAGGGUGAACCUCUCCAUAAGUAAGUAACGGAGUGCUUACUUCAGAUGGGCUCAGUCUCACGGCAAUGGGGAUUCCUGUCUGUUGGCCCGGCUCAGGACUGUGUAUCCCUGUGUACUUUUGCAAUGGUUUUGUUAGCUGAACCUCAUUAGAGAUGAGAGUGGAAAGUGAGCUGAAAUCAAAGGAUGUUUCCCAAGAAAAGCAGCUGUAAUCAGAAGGGCGCACGAUAAAGGCUUGUCUGAACUGAACCCCACAUGGGCGGAGCUAGGUUCACAUUCUUACCCCUGACCUACUUACAGUGGACCUAUUUUCAUUACGUAAACUUUUCUCCUUGACUUUCUAGUCUCAGUUUAAAAGUCUAGAUUAAGUUUUAAAGUCUGGAUUACCCACAAAUGUUGCUUGGUCAUGAUGGUUUCAUCGUCGUCAGGAUUUGGUUUGGACCUAUGUAACAGGAAAGUGAACUAUUAUGGAGUGGGUAUUUGUCGUAUAAAAACAAGUGGUGGGGGGAGGGACAUGGCUCUGUCAGUAAAGUGCUUGCCGUGCAAGCAUGAGAAAUGUUUGAACCCUAUCGCAAAAGCUAGGCUUCGUGGCACAGCCCUCAGACCCAGAGCUGGAGAGGUUAGACACGAGGACCCCAUGUCUCAUUGGCCAGUCAGUGCGGCUUGUCCAUGAGCUCCACGUGAGACUAGCUUCAGGGAAACUGACAUUCAGUGAAAGGCCCUGUUUCCAAAAAUAAGGUAGAGAGUGACUGAGGAAAGCCCCUGGCCUCAACCCUUAGCCUGUACCUGCCCACCUGUGUAACCCAACGUGUAGAAACACGUGCCCCAAACAGAAGCUGAGUUAGAAGUCUGGGGUUGAUAGCGCUACUCCUUGGGCAGAAAGACCCAAGCUUUUGUUUCUUUCUGUUUUGCUUUGCUGAACACAUAGUUUCCAAUUUCAGGCUUGUGUCACAAGCCUGGGAGGGAGGCUGAGGUUACCCCUACCAUUAUUUACUUAUUCCCCAAUAGAAGAGAAAGGGUUGUGUCAACAGUGUCUCCUGUGUGGAAAGGGAGCCUUGCCUGAGUGCCACCAAGCGAUUUCCUGACGUUAUGUUCAUUACGUUUAAGAGUUGCUGCUCCAUGUAAGACUGAUGUUUUACAAUGUAAAGGUACAGUGUGUAUUAAGGAGGCAACUAAUAAGAUGGGUUAUACAAAUACUUUCCCCCCCCAAUAUUAAAGGUUUCAUCAUAUUGAAGG
rnacentral:lncRNA from 1 species